GCCCGGGUGGCUCAAUCGGUCGGUUAAGUGUCUGACUUCGGCUCAGGUCAUGAUCUCAUGAUUUGUGAGUUCGAGCCUCACUUCAGGCU
rnacentral:tRNA from 1 species